rnacentral:piRNA from 1 species
UGCAUCUGGAAGUGUGUGGAUUACUG